CGAAUCAACGCUGGCGGCGUGCCUAACACAUGCAAGUCGCACGAGAAAGGGACUUCGGUCCUGAGUAAAGUGGCGCACGGGUGAGUAACACGUGAAUCAUCUACCUCCGAGUGGGGAAUAACCUAGAGAAAUCUGGGCUAAUACCGCAUAACACUUACGAGUCAAAGCAGCAAUGCGCUUGGAGAGGAGUUCGCGGCAGAUUAGUUAGUUGGCGGGGUAAUGGCCCACCAAGACGAUGAUCUGUA
rnacentral:rRNA from 1 species